CCUACNNNNKGCAGCAGNUGAGGAAUAUUGGCUCNNAUGGACGAGAGUCUGAACCAGCCAAGUAGCGUGAAGGAUGACUGCCCUAUGGGUUGUAAACUUCUUUUAUAAGGGAAUAAAGUGAGGGACGUGUCCCUUUUUGUAUGUACCUUAUGAAUAAGGAUCGGCUAACUCCGUGCCAGCAGCCGCGGUAAUACKGAGGAUCCAAGCGUUAUCCGGAUUUAUUGGGUUUAAAGGGAGCGUAGGUUGACAUAUAAGUCAGCUGUGAAAGUUUACGGCUCAACCGUGAAAUUGCAGUUGAUACUGUAUGUCUUGAGUGUACAAGAGGUGGGCGGAAUUCGUGGUGUAGCGGUGAAAUGCUUAGAUAUCACGAAGAACUCCAAUUGCGAAGGCAGCUCACUGGGGUACAACUGACACUGAGGCUCGAAAGUGUGGGUAUCAAACAGGAUUAGAUACCCUGGUAGUCCACACAGUAAACGAUGAAUACUCGCUGUUUGCNAUAUACAGUAAGCGGCCAAGCGAAAGCAUUAAGUAUUCCACCUGGGGAGUACGCCGGCAACGGUGAAACUCAAAGGAAUUGACGGGGGCCCGCACAAGCGGAGGAACAUGUGGUUUAAUUCNAUGAUACGCGAGGAACCUUACCCGGGCUUGAAUUGCAGAGGAA
rnacentral:rRNA from 1 species